rnacentral:rRNA from 1 species
CUACGGGAGGCAGCAGUGGGGAAUAUUGGACAAUGGGCGCAAGCCUGAUCCAGCAAUACCGCGUGUGUGAAGAAGGCCUGAGGGUUGUAAAGCACUUUCAAUUGGGAGGAAAACCUGCCGGUCAAUACCCGGCAGCUGACAUACCUUAGAAGAGACCAUCCCAUA